CAGACCUCUGUUCCAAACACAGCUCAACAGAGGACAGGAAUAUGAUCACUGGGUGCCCAGCUAAAGCAGCUUUCCCUGGGUGAACUGUCAAGGAAAGCAUGACCCACAGCACUGCUCUCCUCUGGAUGACUCCUCUGCACACACCUCAGUGGAGAACAGCCAUCCCUGUGAGUUCCACAUUUUGGAGGGAACAAGGGAAUACUUGCAGCUUUUCAUACUGCUUUGAACAGCUGAUCAGAGGAAACGGAAGGAGUAAAAACUUGAUCUACUAAUAGCUACUCUGGUGCCCUGCUAACUAUCUGCUCCCUCUGCCUUGCUCACUUGCAAAUGUGUGUCCCAAACUAUUAGGAAAAUAAAAACCCUAAAGCAGGAUGUAAGAAGUGUGUACCCUUGGCACGUGCAUAGGAGGUGGUGUUUGCAGGAGUCUCCAAGCCAGCAGCUGAGGAAUCUUGGCUUCAGGUUUUCCAGCUGGUGCACGAGGUAGAGUGGGAGGAGUGUAAUCCAAGGAAGACAAAGGGAAGAAGAAAUGUAAUUUUCAUAUGGAAAAAUCUUCUUUUGGCAUAAAAAAUCAAAAUUGUUCCAACGAAAUGUUCUUCCAGUAUCUGGAAUCAAUGAGCAGCUGCCAACACCCAUGACCCUCUCCAGCUUCUAACAGGGCAGACAGGAUCAGACUGGAUCAGAGCUCCAGCACCAGCCAACUGAGCUUUUUUUUAUUAAUUCUAUUUUCAUAAUGUCCAAACCUAAAAUUGAGGUUAACUGAAUAGUGUGGAGUAGCUGGCAUAAGGAGGAAUACUGUUAGGUUCUAAUUUGCAAAGUGGUCUUUUUUUUCCCCAAGAACUAGAUCAUAUAGAUGUUAAAUCUUUGUACAUCACAGCCUGCAAAUCUGAGGUUCAUAAAGGUUUUGUAUAUAUGUGCAUACAUAUAUAUAUAUACACAUACGUACAUAUUUAUAUAAAUGGCAUGGUACUUUCAAUGUACUUUUUACAUUGUACUUCACAUUUUACUGUACAUUCAACUGCCUCCCCACAUCUCAUAUGAAUUUUCUGAAUUAUUUGUCCUAUGCUUGCUUAUCUGUAAUUCCAGAAUAACUUAAAAAAUUAGAGUUCUCAUACUGGUGUUUCGGUAAGUUAACAGCAGAAGACUGUUUCAGAAUAUUUAAAUGGGAUCCCUAUUUUAUUUUUCUAUUAUCUUUCUUCCUCCCCACCCUUCAUUCAGUAAGCGAUUGCCAGAUUACCAGAGGUAGGGGAGUGUUUCAUAUAUUUCCUUGUAGGUAGUUUUAAGGCUCAAAUAGUUUCUCCUGCUUUCAUUUAUUAAUGUGAGACAGAGUUUAAAGUACAGACAGACGCAACACACAUUCAUUUGGCAGUGACAGGUUAACCAGACUUUCUAAAGAAUAUUAAACACUGUUCAAUCAGUGUCACUCUCCAGUUCUUUGUUUGGUCCUUUAUCUGGAAUCUGAACGAGGAAUUAAACUCCCACAUGAGAUAAUAGUCAGUCAUUCUGAUGUGAAAGAACUUCCAUAAUUAAUCCUCCAAGGUGGAAUCCCACCCAGUGCAGAGGACCAGCCAGGGGCAGACAAACCACUUCAGCCUGACGUGAGUCUAUUGAAGCCUCAAACAACACAACAAACCCUGGGCUGCUCCUUCCAAAGAGACUUUUUCACUGCAAGACAUUGAAUCACCUCCCUUCUGGAGAAGUUAAUUGUGGUUACACCAAAGGCCAAAUUAAUUUCAUCAUCAGCUUACAAAUCAAAGUUGGGUCAAUAAGUACCAACAUACUACUUCAAAUAAUAAAAUCUCUUAUAAGGCAAACAGUACUAGAGAUUGGCUAAUGGCCUAGACCAGACCUGACGUGGAUCUUCUCAUGCUCUAAAUCACAAGGCUAGAAAUUCAACUCACUUCAAUUGUCAGGAACCCAAUGAAGUUCAACAGAUUUUUUCUAAGGACCUCUCUGUAUUUUUGACUAUCAUAGAAAAAGAAGGACCUUAAGAAAAUAAAAAAAAAAAAAGAAAAGGGGAAAAAAAGGAGUAUUUAAGAGUCUUUUGAUUACCUUAAGAUAUCAACUAUAAGAAAUUCUAUUUGAAAUAAUUAUGUCGUUUUCCAAGAAGUACCAUUCAGCAACUGCUCCAUUUACCUCCUGGCAAAGCUUAGAUAAGGAGGACAGUUCUCCAGACAUGACUCUGCUAAACCAAGGCAGGGGGUUAGUUUCAGCCAUAUUCCUCCAAAAUGUUUUUAUAAUCCUCAUCUGAUACCUCUGUUUUCUUAGAUUUCAGCUCAGACUAAGCAGUAACUCAUCUUGGUAGGACAUGAAAAUAGUCGAAUCUAACACAACGAAAUAAAUUCAGAGUCAAGUCACGUUAGGAAAGAUCACUGUGUUUCCCUUUCCAUUUGGGAACCAUGGAACACUGAACUACCCAAUUAUUUUUUGGAAGAAUGAAGGGCUUCAAGCACAAUAACAACAAAGCAGAAGCAUUACUCAGACUACUGACUGCACUAAAUGUGGUUUAUGCCACCUGAAAUCAGUCUGUUGUGGCAUUAAUACAUAAAUAUUCAGUAUGUCACUGAAAGCCACUAAAAAUUUUUACUCUUGUUAAACAUGAUCUGCUUCCCAUGUUUCAUUUUGGAAAGACCAAAAUCUGUGAGACUCUGCUCCACUUUCAUUUUUCCAGACUGAGGGAGAACUCUGUAGCAUAGCCGUCUGUCCAGCUGUGGGAUUCAGAUCACCCAUUCCUAAUAUCUCUGUGCCAGCACACCUGUUUUCCAGCUGGGCUUUGGCUUCAUCCUUCCUCUGGCUGACCCACAGUUAAACCACUGAUGCUGGUGCCCAAGGAGAGUCAGGAAUGCCAAAUACACACACAAGUGAGCCUGUAAUGAAUCCCUAUUGUAAUUCCAUCUAUUGUGCAAAGUCCAUGGAUUAAAUGCUACUUUGCCAACACGUGAAUGUUUUCUGGGGUGUGUAUUUAUUGGCAAGAAAAAUUGACUAGCAGGGUACCUGAAUUUUAUUCACAACAUCUAUUCAUAGCACAUAGACCUAUUCUACAAUAGGCCACUAUUAAAAAAAUCAACAAAAGGUUGCAGCAUUGUCUGAGCUUCUCUGGCAAUUUUCUCUCUCACAUUAGACAUGUCUUACUUGCCUUUUGUUAUCCAAGGAGGAAUUAUUUGUAUAAUGUUCCACUGUGCUUUAAAUAGUUCCCCAGUUCCUUUCUCAUAUGAAUUAAGACUAAAAUUAUGUUAUUGAACAAAUAUUAUUCCUUUGUUGCCUCAAAUUCUCAGUUUCAGAUGUGUUGGGGUUAAAAAAAGGUCCUCCCUAACUCCUGCAAAGCCCUCCAGGGAGUCCCUGUCACAUUUAAUCUUUCUCUGUCUCCCUGUUUCUCAGGGUGUCUUCUGAAUAACAGCAGUUUUGUCUAUUUUUUAUUUGCUCUCUCUCUUACACACACCCAAUUGAAGAAAAGUAAUUGAAACCAUGGCAUCUCACCUUGCAGUAUCUGUGUAGUUUGAACCGACAAGUAUCUAGAGAUCAAAUUUCUGCUUAUCAGCCACAUAAAUGUGCUCCAAAGCCUGGAGACAUCAGUGAACUCUGCAGGAGUUCACUUGCUGAGCAGGUGUUUGUGGCCCAUCACAGGAAGAGAGAUUUGGGCUGAAAUAGCUUUUCACCUCUACAAACUGAGUAGCUUUUGCUGCAAUUUGCACCUCUGGACCUACCAGUCAGUACAGUGACACCCAGGUUACUCUGAGUUCAUCUGCCAGUCCAGGCCAAACACAACAGUGAGGCAUCAAACAGCUGUGUGUCUCCUGCCCAGGUUUUGCUGUAAAACAUUAAGUGGUGUAGCUGCAGGAGCUCUGUCUUGCCACGCUGGAGCCACAGCUGCUGCAGCAAGAGCCUCUUUCCAUGGCAUAGAACACAGACUUCUGACUUACCACCAGAAACUUCCUCUCAUUUUUCACACAACUGACCAUGUUGUUUUUAGCUAUGCA